GCCCUAGUAGUUUAACACAAAGCAUCGGUUUUGUAAUCCGAAGAUUGGAAAUUAAUACUUUUCCUAGCGCA
rnacentral:tRNA from 1 species